rnacentral:rRNA from 1 species
UACAGAGGUCUCAAGCGUUGUUCGGAUUCAUUGGGCGUAAAGGGUGCGUAGGCGGCGUGGUAAGUCGGGUGUGAAAUCUCGGAGCUUAACUCCGAAACUGCAUUCGAUACUGCCGUGCUUGAGGACUGGAGAGGAGACUGGAAUUUACGGUGUAGCGGUGAAAUGCGUAGAUAUCGUAAGGAAGACCAGUGGCGAAGGCGGCUCUCUGGGACGGUACUGACGCUGAGACGCGAAAGCGUGGGGAGCGAACAGG